rnacentral:tRNA from 1 species
UGGCAGAUAGUUCAGCGGUAGAACACGGUUUCCGCCAGACACCGAAAUAGGUACGUUCGACUCGUACCCUGCCAACCA